GCCUCCGUAGCUUAGUGGCAAAGCGGCGGUUUUGUAAACCGUUGACAACAGUUCGAUUCUGUUCGGGGGCU
rfam:Candidatus Levybacteria bacterium RIFCSPHIGHO2_02_FTLL_40_18 rifcsphigho2_02_scaffold_170, whole genome shotgun sequence.